AUAUUUGGGUAAAGAGUAGUAACCAAUGUAUUUUUGGGUAAUCGGAUAUUUCGAUUAGAUUUAGUAUAUAUGGUACUCUUUCCGUUUCACAAUAUAAGUUGUUUUAGCUAAAAGCACGCAGAUUAAGAAUAUUUAUUUUUAAAAAGUUUAACCAAUCAUAAAAGACACUGCAUAAUAGAAAUAAUUAUAA
rnacentral:sRNA from 1 species